rnacentral:rRNA from 1 species
ACGGAAGGCAGCAGUGGGGAAUAUUAGGCAAUGGGGGCAACCCUGACCUAGCAACGCCGCGUGAAGGAAGAAGGCCUUCGGGUUGUAAACUUCUUUUAUGAGGGACGAACAAAAUGACGGUACCUCAUGAAUAAGCCACGGCUAACUACGUGCCAGCAGCCGCGGUAAUACGUAGGUGGCAAGCGUUGUCCGGAUUUACUGGGUGUAAAGGGCGCGUAGGCGGGAUGGCAAGUCAGAUGUGAAAUCCACGGGCUCAACUCGUGAACUGCAUUUGAAACUGUCGUUCUUGAGUAUCGGAGAGGCAAGCGGAAUUCCUAGUGUAGCGGUGAAAUGCGUAGAGAUUGGGAGGAACACCAGUGGCGAAGGCGACUAACUGGACUGUAACUGACGCUGAGGCGCGAAAGUGUGGGGAGCAAACAGGAUUAGAUACCCUGGUA